GGCAUCAUUGCUAAGGCGGUGAGUACCCUGCCCGAGUCCCUGGGUAACCCAAACAGAAGUCUCACUGUCCCCCUUGCCAUGUGUCCCUGAUCACUUGCAGGCACUCCCUACACUAGAAACUCCUCCCCUACCAGCAGCCCGACUUGCUAGCUUAGGUCUCCAUCCAGCGUAGACUGAACUCUGGUUGUAUGCAAAACCCAUCCCUCUGGCGCAAGCCCAGCCCCUCUCCUAGGGAGACUGCAGAACCACACUGAACCACAGUGGGAUGCAUGGACCCUCUUCCAGGUAGAUCAUGCCACUAAUCGUACCCAGUUUGGGGAGAAAAUUCACAACUUUGGGCUGAUCCAGGAGAAGCUGGCACGGAUGGUUAUGCUGCAGUAUGUAACUGAGUCCAUGGCUUACAUGGUGAGUGCUAACAUGGACCAGGGAGCCACGGACUUCCAGAUAGAGGCCGCCAUCAGCAAAAUCUUUGGCUCGGAGGCAGCCUGGAAGGUGACAGAUGAAUGCAUCCAAAUCAUGGGGGGAACCUGGAGUAGAGCGUGUGCUCCGAGAUCUUCGCGUCUUCCGGAUCUUUGAGGGGACAAAUGACAUUCUUCGGCUGUUUGUGGCUCUGCAGGGCUGUAUGGUAAGAGAGAGAAUUGGGUGGGGGUAGAGGUGGGGAGGACAGUGAGUCCUGACUGCUGGACCCUCUUCCCCCAUAGGACAAAGGAAAGGAGCUCUCUGGGCUUGGCAGUGCUCUAAAGAAUCCCUUUGGGAAUGCUGGCCUCCUGCUAGGAGAGGCAGGCAAACAGCUGAGGCGGUAGGCUUAGGGCCAGAGCCAGGGGAGGGCAGGGUGGUGUAUGGCAACUAACCAGUCAUUCUCCCUCUUCCUCUCAGGCGGGCAGGGCUGGGCAGCGGCCUGAGUCUCAGUGGACUUGUCCACCCAGAGUUGAGUCGGAGCGGCGAGCUGGCAGUACAGGCUCUGGAGCAGUUUGCCACUGUGGUGGAGGCCAAGCUGAUAAAACACAAGAAGGGGAUUGUCAAUGAACAGUUUCUGCUGCAGCGGCUGGCAGACGGGGCCAUCGACCUCUAUGCCAUGGUGGUGGUUCUCUCGAGGGCCU
rnacentral:sRNA from 1 species